AAAUAGAUAAGCUAAUUUAAGCUAAUGGGUUCAUACCCCAAAGAUGGUCUGUCCUCUUG
rnacentral:tRNA from 1 species